rnacentral:rRNA from 1 species
AGUCACUGACAUUAGAUACCCGCGUAGUCCAGGGUGUAAACGCUGCAGACUUGGUGUUGGGAACCCUUCGGGGGUGCUCAGUGCCGGAGAGAAGUUGUUAAGUCUGCUACUUGGGGAGUACGUCCGCAAGGAUGAAACUUAAAGGAAUUGGCGGGGGAGCACCGCAACGGGAGGAGCGUGCGGUUUAAUUGGAUUCAACACCGUAAAACUCACCAGGGAAGACUGUUACAUGAAGGCCGAGAUGAAGACUCUGCUAGAUUUUUCAG